CCAGACGGCCGGACGGCCGCCGGGGGUGGGCAAAAAGAUCCGCCGCCGGAGGAAAGUCCGGGCUCCACGGGAACACGGUGCCGGCCAACCGCCGGCGGGGGCAACCCCAGGGAUAGUGCCACAGAAAACAAACCGCCCGCACCGCUCCCGGGCGCUGCGGGCAAGGGUGAAACGGGGCGGCAAGAGCGCACCGCGCCCGCGGCAACGCGGGCGGCACGGCAAACCCCACCGGGAGCAAGACCGAAUAGGGGCAGCCGGCGGCCGACGCCGCCAGGGACGUUCCCGAUCCGCUGCCCGGGUUGGUCGCACGAGGCGCGCCACAAGACGCGUCCCAGAGGAAUGGUCGUCCCGCCCUUCCGGGGCGGACAGAACCCGGCUUACAGGCCGUCUGGCACA
rnacentral:RNase_P_RNA from 1 species